CCUCCCUCAAACCCUCUGGUUUGGGAGUAGAGAAUGCUUACGCUUGAAAAUCUUCUGUUUGGAGACUCAGCAGCCCCUUGAAGACAGUUUCAUUUGUCCCAGCUUUUGGAGAAAAUGAGGCUCAGAGGAAAUGAGAUCUCUACCCCAGAUGUCCAGCUCGCCGCUGUCCAAGAAACGUCGCGUGUCCGGGCCUGAUCCAAAGCCGGGUUCUAACUGCUCCCCUGCCCAGUCCGUGUUGUCCGAAGUGCCCUCGGUGCCAACCAACGGAAUGGCCAAGAACGGCAGUGAAGCAGACAUAGACGAGGGCCUUUACUCCCGGCAGCUGUAAGUG
rnacentral:lncRNA from 1 species